UAGAUAUAUCUAUGAACUACAUAAAUAACU
rnacentral:piRNA from 1 species